CUAGUACUGACAGCAAGAAGAGGUGAAGAGGAAGGAGGUGGAUACAAACUGUAGAUCUGAGAUCUGAUCUGUGCUUGCUGAUUUUCUAUUAAGGGUUGCUGGUUUGUUCCAGUCUACAGCUGAGAGAGGCUUUCCCACUCAAUCUCUUCUUUUAUGCCAUUUCUUGGAUUUGCAGGUCUCUCUUCUGUCUCCCACUCUUCAAACUUUCUGGACCUCUACACUCUACUUGGUAUUUUCUCAAUUGUUUGUGUGUUAAUGCUGCCGAGAGGGAAAAAUUCCUAAAAGAAGGAGAGGCAAUUUGACUGUGCUGUUUUGUGCUUGCACCUGGGUGACUGGUGGCUGACCAUCCAGCAAGUGGGUAAACAAAAAGCCACAAGCAGUCCUGGAAAAUGGAAACUCUGCCCCUUUAUCUGUUACAAAGCUGCACCAGUCUGCUGAGUGCAAAAAAUGCAUUGUUCAGUAAACCCAGCGAAGACCAUAAGAAGCAGCCUUCUGCAGCACAGCCCAUCAUGUCACUGAUCAGAUGGCUUCAGCAGCACCAGUUCAACACAUCACAUGGCCGUGGGGGGUUUCUGGUCACCCCCUCUCACUAAGAGGAGCUCCUAUCAUUGGCCUAAUGACUGCAGGUCCGUGAGUUUCCCAAACAACUAAAAAUGCUGAGUUCUGAUAGGAGCUGUAGCUUGACCUCAGAAAAUGCAUAUUUAUUCUGCCCCAUGUAAACCAGCAGCUGAUCACUUCUGCCACCUGAUGCUUGGUAAGAAAUAUAUGUAAAGAUCCCCUCUGCCACCAAAAUCCAUACGGAAGCCCGUAUUUCCAAGACUUAAGACAACAGAUGCCUGGAUAUGCAUAUGCUCCCAACUGGCUGUCAUACAGGGUUAUUAUGCAGUGCAGGAGCCAGCCUCCAGAGUUAGCCAGCUUCCCUUUGCUUUAUUUACUCAGUAAUGUCAGCCCCAUUCUUGAGCUAGGAACCUCUGCAGCAGCAGCAACUGUGACAUUGUUAAGUAAGUCAGGCAAGGGUAAUUACCAGCUUGUUUACAUAUAAAGAUGAUCUGUGAUGAGAAAGACAACUCAGGAAAAGUACAGCAUGAUUAACUACAGGUAAAACACCAGACUGUUUGUUUAAGCUUUCCAUUGAUACAGCAGUAAUUCUCUCUCUCUCUCUCUCUCUCUCUCUCUCUCACAAGAACCGCUGCACAGUUUACUCUUUCAGUUUUUCAACAUUUUUAAAUCAAAACUCAGCAUCUCUAUCACAUGCAUUUUUCCCUUCAUAGGCUAUCUAUGUUGCUAGGUUGAGUAGUAGCUGAACAGCUCUCCCAUGCAGACACAUUACAGAAGUAUAAAAUAUCACCACCAUUUAAUGAGACUGGUGAGUAUGCCUUUGUUACAGCUUUUGUUUUAAAUCCAGUACUGUGGCUGCCUCCUAGGGCCCUGAAGUAAGCACUCUUUAAAAAGAGCGACAGAUUUAUUCCUCCACUCUGAAUAAGUGAAAAUGUGUUUUGUUGAAACCUCCAGAGAGUAACUGGCUUUACUAUAGAAUCCCCUUUUGUUUAUGGGCUUGAUGAAAACAUUUGGCAUUUAAUGAUUCCCAGGCUAUUCCAAGUUUAAAAAAAAAAAAAAAAUCAAGUGUGCUGAGUGUUAAAAUGUUUUCCACCAACCUCAAAGCAAAUUUAAUAUAAAGACUUGUUUCAGGUAUCAAAUUAGGGUGGAAAUGUUAUGCUUACUGACUCCUACUUUUUAGCAUUUAGACUCAGUAUAAUGCCACACGUUGUUCUUAAAACAGCGUGGGGUAUGAGGGAGACCUACAGAGGUGGCCACCUGAAAUCCAACCAUUCUCCUCUCAGCUUUAGCUUUAUCAUCUGCUGCUCCUCACAUCUUCAAUUUCUUCACAAAAAGAACUCAGAACUAUUUCCAUUUAGAGUAGUCAGGAAUUUACCAGCAGAAAACUUUUAAAUGUAAAACACAGAUAAUGGUUUUUUCGGGUUUGGUUUUUCCUUUGGAGAAGUAACCACUGACCAGUCACUUCCCACUUAGACAUCAUAGAUUUCUCUUUAAGAAAAGCUGAGGUGUAAUUUGCUCAUCUUAUCCUGCUCUCUAGCCAAUAUAUUUCUGCUUCUCAGCACUUCCUCCUUCUAAGCCACCUCAUGGGCUCUGUUCUUAAUAUCAGUCUUUACUUACAGAAACUGCAAAACAUAUUCACAACCAUGCAGAAUAUAGCAUGUGAAGUGCUUACUUAGUUUUGUGGGAAAGGAUCCUAGGGCUGAAUGGCCUUAGAGAUACAUUUUUUUUUUCUAUAGAUGGAAAAGGUAAAUAGCCUGGGAAACUUAUCUUUAAAAACAAGAAUAACUAUUUUAUAUUUUUCCUUUCAGGGAAACAAAAUUUGUACAGAAGACAUUUAUGUUAUUUGCAUGGAUCACUAGGCAUAAAGAUGACUGACACCAUAUAACAACUGGGCAUACAAAAGAAUCACUCUAUCAAAGAAGUGACUACAUACUUUUAAAAUCCAAGAGCCACUGAAUAUUAUAUGCAGCAGAUGAAGACUUCUUCAGCUGGACAAAAAUUCCAGACUUCUAAAGGAGGAAAACUGUUACAUUUGAUCUCUCAGGGUAACCACCUCCUGAGACCUAAGUUCUUGCAAUCUUAGCCUUGUUUUCCCAUAAAAACACAUAAAAAGGGGUUUCUAAUAAGAAACCCAUACAGGAGCUCAGGACAUUUCUCUCAUGCAAUCCAUUAAUUACCCAAAGAAAACCAAUCAUUAUAGAUCUAACAUUGACUUUAGCUUGUCUCUUGCUUCAUAGCAUUUAUUAUUGUUUACUGAAGACAUGAUGCAAUCCUGGCAAACCAUCCAAACCAGCACCCACCUAGUUCCAGCAUGUGUUACUGACUGAGACAGACAGCCAUUCUCCAAGUCAUCAGUUGUUAAAGCCAUUGCAAAAAUCACCAUGAGGUGAUUUUUAUUACUCACCACACUCUUGGGAGGGAUUGCUCCUAAACUACCAGUUACCCCACCUUAAAAUAACUUUUCCUUUCAUGUACUUGGAAAUGCUGCAGCAUAACUGAGGUCAGAGAAAGCAAAAUAAACACCAUCUUUGGUCUGCAUAUCAUUUCACUCUCAUGACUUCCUCCUUUGAUGCAGUUUAAACCUGUUGCCUACAGACCACUGAAAGAUCCUAACUUAGGACUAAGAGAAAUGCAAAAGAUAAUCAUGGAGCUCUAUGCUUAUGAGCCACUAAACUAGCCCAGUUCAUAAUAACAAGGACUUUCCCCCUCCCUUCAGAAAGUACUUCAUGGAGAGGAGCAAUAGGAACCAAAGACAGACACUACAGAAUAUUAUUGCUCUAUUUUCUCACCUGUGCAUUGCUCUGACGUUUUCACACAACAGUGCUCUCAGGGAGAGAACAAGAAGCCCAACUCAGCUUCACUGCACUCUAGAACCCCGGGGAGGACAUCUCCCUGUCUACCGGCUGGAGGAAAGAUCUGAAGGAACAUUGAGAUUUAGCACCUGAUUUGUUGUUGUUGUUGUUGUUUAGUUUUUUGCUUUUUAAAUUAACUUUCCCCUUUUCCUCCGGUUUUUCUUUAUUUGCUCUCCUUAAGUGCCAAAAAAGAUGGCUUAUGCUAUUGAUGAUUUGUUCACUGACAUAGCCAUCUCUUUCCCUCCCCAGUAAGGCAGCAGAAUCCCAGCAAUUUUUCUCCUUUCCUAUCAGUUUAUGUAGCUCACCUAACCAUUGUGCUACUCAGACUUCUAAAACAGUUAUAAAAUUAAGGAUAACUUAGGUCACGGCAAGUUACGUUCCAGGAAGCCUUAAUUCAUAAGAGAUUCACUGAAGUUCUAUCACUAACUAAUGGUGACUAUUUAAGCAUACAAAAGCAUCUAUUACCAUUGUUCCUGAAUAAGUUCAUUCCUUUGCUAGGACUUCCAUCUCUGCUACAGAUGCUGAAUUUCUGUAUGGUUCAUGCAACAGAGGUUACUUCCAGUAACACAGGGUAGAGGGGAAAUUGCCAUAGCAGUCUCCUUUUCUUUUCCCGCUAUGGAAACUAUCUAACCUUACAGGAAAUACAUGAUUUAUGAGCCAAAUUCAAUUCAUUAAAAUUUCAUAAACAAAUAGCACAAACAGGAUAUGAACAACACAGGUUGUACUGAAAACCCAAAGGCAAUAAUAUGUAUGUCUCAGUAUUUUACUUCAUGUCCACUUUAGUGCUAGCUUGGUCCCAGAAACUGAUUACCUAUUAUCAUUCAGACACAAAUUAAUGUGCUCUUCUUCGUGGCAUUCCUCACUAUUUUGUGUCCUUGCAAAGGGGUACAAUCCUGAGUUUUCUUUCAAAAACACAUCCCUGGCUCAAGGGCAGACCAGUAGGCUCCAUUGACAUCACAGCCAUUUUAAGAUGAGGCAUAAGAUAAGGAGGAAAGGAGUUAGGGUGCAAAGUCAUGCUGCUUAAAUAACAGCAACCCAGCUUAGACAUCCAAGGAAUCAUAGCCACUGCUGUUGUUACGUAGUUCUUAUGUUUUAUGUUCAAACAACCACAAAGGAAAAACAGAUGCAGGUAUAUUUGGCGGUACACAUUAAAACAUCUCAGCAAACAAAGGCAGGCAAAAAAAAAGAGUUGCCCUUUUAGGAAUACUCUGUUAGAUCUGGCAGCAAGGAGUGGGAGGAGGUCACUGGUAUGCAUUCACUUGUGCCACAGAAGAGAAAGACAAAGCAAAAGCAGAAUAAAUUAACUAAAAAGUUUAUCUUCUAUUUAUCUUAGGUUUUGUAUUAAGGCUAAUGUUUUAAUGGAAAUUGGGUGAUAGUUCUUUCCUGCACUUUCAGCAACUACUGAAUAUUAUUUUGAUCCCACUAACUGCCUUCUGAGGAAGGUACACACCAGGUGCUUGCAAGAGAAGACUUUUCCUGGGCCCUAUUAACAUUUCAACGCUUAAAACAAAACCAUGUCUUUUCUGCAGCCUCUUUGCCAAGUACUUCUGGCACUUUCAUACCUGAGUAUGAGCUAAAGCAAAACUAUUGGCUGCCUUCCAGAUUAAUGAGUUUCCAGUCUCUAAUGAAAAGACAAAACUGUAAGAAGUGCAACACUCUGCUUUUGAGUUGUUUGCAAACACAUCUGCCUGAGAAGCAGCAGCCAUCAGACUACAUUUGACCUUUAUGAGAUCCUGUCUCUCUCCCCUCCCUCCCCUUUUUUCCCCUUUUUGCCACAACUUUUCCUAUUUAAAAAGAGGAGGAUUACCAGGCUAGCAUUAAAAACAAACAAACAACAACAACAACAAAAAAACAGUAAGAACCACUCACAUCUACUUGUCCUUCACUCUACUUGUUUCCUUUUUCUUCAUUUGGUUAUGGUCAUCCACAGAACAGCAGCAGCUGCAGCUCUGCACAGUUCAGCUGUAACUGAUCUAACUGAGGCAUCAGAAUGCUACUAAUGUUCUCACUGCUAAUUCAUACUGCUAUCAUCAGGGCUUCAAAUACAAAAAUGGAUUUUUGUGAUUUUACAGAUGAAUUUGCUCCCAUCUUGGUGUAAUUUUACAAGUGCUUUUUGAGAAAGCAGUCCCCAAGUUCACUGAGGUAAAUCCCAGAGCACCACAUUAGUCACAAGGAAAGAAGAACCAGCAAAGAGAACAAAAAUAUCUAAUACAAUGGGAACCCUCCCUUACAAUACAGUCACAGAAACUCCAAGAUGCUCAAGUUCUAAUAGUGCCAAGAUAUAAACAGCUAUUUAUGAUCACCUUCCUGCACACUGGCAUAAGUCUUUCUAAGCAGUUCUUUGGGAUUGUCACCCUAUGCCUGCAAAACAUAUUAAAACUAUCUUCUCCUAGAAUUGUUUAAUUGGUAUUAAUUACAUUUAAUGCCUGUUACACUCAUCAUUAAGCACAGCUACUACUCAUCCUGUAUCGGUGCUUUCUAAAACAUAACUGCAGACAACAAGAGUACUGCUGGAUCACUCAGGUCUGCUGCCCCCUUGUAUGUUUGCUACAGCACAACAAAUUCAAGGUACAACUGAGCAUCCCAUGAAGUUAAAGAAGUCAGAGUGCCUAUAAGGAAAAUUUCUGCAAGUAUUAGAAGUUCAUCACCAACACUAAUACACAAUCACUUCAGUUUUUAGAGGAGGUUAAAAAUACAUAGGUAGCACUGAGGAAGUACUCUUAGGUUUGUAUUCUGUCUUCUUCCCACUUGUCCUAUCUUGUAUAAUGCCUAACUCUCCUAUGCAAUAAAAUGCCAAAACUUGGCAGUUACUUCUUCACAGAAGUUUCUGGAAAUAGCAGCUGCAAUAACAGAAGCUGUCGAGACUUUCCUUUUACAGGCCUGCAUCAACCCCACUGAACACGACUUGCUGCAUUCUCUAGAUGUACACAUGCCAGCAAGCUCAUUCUGUUGUUUUGAACUAGGAGAAAAGGUAAGCCAACUCUUUUCUCCAUUAAAUUGAUGUAAAGAAGGAAAAACUUAAACUAAACAGCUUUAUUGCCUUAUACUUGUGUGUGCCUGCCUACAAGUUUCAAUGGAUCCUAGGCUGGAAUGCACAUGAUUUUAUCACAAAGAAACUGUAUCUCAGCAGAGGUGAAUAUGAAUAAUACAAAGUCCAGCCAAUAGACAUGGCUGCUGUCUGGGACAGAUAUAGGAACUGGGUAGGAAAACUCCCCUCUUUGCUCCGGAGCAGCAGCAAAAGCCCUACUUUCACCACUGUAGAAGACUUCACCCUCUCCCUCUGCCUAUAUCCACCGCACCCAGCAGCAAUGCCAGCAACAGCCCCACUGAUGAAGACAUUCACUUCAGCAAAGCUGAAUCAGUUCCACUGUCAGGGUAAAUGGACCUGUUUCACACUCAGAAAGCCUACAUCAGUGCUCAGGCUUCCCCAUCCAGACAUGAAAGAGAAGCGCCACAGCUGGUUAAAUAAUUCUGCCCAGAAGAUUAAGCAUGUAACACAGGCUUUUGAAAGAAGUAAGAGUGGCUGUCAUGCUUUUACUUGCCCUGAUAGCCAUGCACUUUAUGAGAGAUGCCAAGUGCUAUUGCAAACAGUCUGUACUUCCAUGACAGUAAGAGCCUCUGCUCUUUUCAUUGCCACAGACCAGCGCUUUUGAUCCAUCAGCAGUGCUUGGCGUUCAUUCCCAAGGGAAAUCCUUUGAAAUGUACCUUCAUCUUGAUCACUGACCUCAAGCUGGUCCAAUACCACAAGCACCAGUGCAAAGAGCUGCAGCUGCUUUGUGCAGAACUUUAUCUGAUUACUAGAUUUCAAAGCAACUAAAUCCAGUCUAAUCCACCACAUAAAUCAGUCAAACUAUUUUUAAUGCAAGUUCUUUCUUUUAAAACAUAACAAGUGGCCUAAAAUUCAGACUAAAAUUUAGCAUAGCUUUUUUUUCUGUCCCAGAACCAGCCUACUACAGUUUAUUGAUCAUUGUAUCAUUGAAGCUUAUAUCAUAUUAAGAAUAUUAUAAUAAAACAUUAAAACCACUUAGGAAAAGCAAACAUAUACAGAUCAAAGAAAAAGUUAUGAAUACAGAUAACCACAAAAGAUGAAAAUAAAACAGCUUAAGCUAUUUAUAAGUAAUUGCCAAUUAUUUAUUUAUUCUGAUACAAAUAUAUCCCAUUAGAACAUCAACAUUUUCUAUUUUGCUUAAAAUAAUCACUAACAAAGAAGUCUGAACAUGAAAAUAAUUCGUUCAUCUACUCAAUUUGACACAGAAGUCACUUUAGAGUAAGCUCUGUCAAUUCUUUUUAAAAAACACAUAAUAUCUGUAACAUACGUAUAUAUAUACUUAUGGAUUGGGAUCUCCAGCUGCCAUGAGACUGAAGAAAUGCUUAUGAACUCAGAAAGCAGGAAUUGUAUUUCAUUCACCCUUUUUGCCAUGGUAAAAAAAGUCAACAUGAUCCAGAUGUUCCAGGUGUUAAAGAAUGCCUACUUGGUAACUACUGUCCAAGACACAAGGUUUAUCUUUAUAGUGCUGAAAUAAUGUAUUUAAUCCAGAGAUAAUACAGCAGCCUUCUUCCAUUACUCUUCAGAGUGGAGAACACGGUUUAACACUUCUUCACAUUUUGGUAAUUUAAAUGAAGUCACAUUAUUUAUCUAAUGGCCAAACAAAUCAGAAAGCAUUAUAGUACAAUGAGGUGGUAUAACUAAGUAGUGAAAUAUUAAAAUGGCAAGUUAGGUUUCCUAUCAAGUGAUAUGAAAUAGUGGGUUUCUUCUGUAUUACACCUAUCAUUAGUAUUACCACAAUUUGUAAUUAUUUUCAGUUCUUUAAGAGAAUGAUUCUGCUGUUCUUUUUAAAGAGGAAGGAAGAAACUGAAUUUUUGAGUGCAUGGGUCAUUGCAACUACCUAGCAUACAUUUAUUUUCCCUCUUAGACCUCUACACUUAUUUUCCUCACCACCACCAUCUCAGAGCUCAUAGAACUCCGAGUUUUGCUGCUGGAAUGUCCAUGAACUUGGAGGAGCCUGGUUUCCUGACAUCAGAAAGCUGUUCUACCAAAGCCACAGUAUGACACCAGUGCAACUUAAAGGAUGUCACAAACUCCUCCAGGGCAGCACUGGCUACAGACAGAGGUUAAAUUUCGUCAUCACCAUGGAUACUCAGGACAAUAUUACAAUAGAGCAUUAGCACUGCUGAUCUCAGGAGCACCAGGUGAAAUGACAGCUAUUCUGGUGUAACAGAAGAGAUAGGAGCAGUAAAUUACUUUUAAAAAUAAAAGCUUGCAUACAAGUUUCCAUCAUUAAAUCGUUGUAGAAUGACACUGUAUAUGUAUUUACAGUACGUCCCUUUUCAUAACCUGUCUUACAGUGAUGCCAGCUGAAAGGAAACACACACACAAGUUUUCCUCAGCUCCCCUAGCCACCGAGCAGCUGUUCCUCUGCAGAAGAGGAGAACAAGGAGAGGGCUCCUCAACGAAAACCAGUUCCAUUACAGGUGGACAUCUCCCUAACUACAGCCCCCAUACUGUGGGCAUGCCCAAGAACACAGAAACCAUGCUCAUGAAAAACACCUAGCGAUAUUAACUCACCAACAGGAAUGGAAAAUGCCUUCAUGUUUUGCCUACACUCAAAUAUACUCUUGCCACUCCAGCUCCAUAUCAAAUACAGAGCAGGCUAGCAAAUUACAGAAGCUGGAGCAGAUCUCGUUAAUAGGUAUUUGACAGAAAGCGCCUCAAUAAUGCACAAAUCUUGUAGGUAAACUUCCUUCUGUUUUGAGUUGAAUGAAUGAGGCCUUGUCCCUUACCUCAGAUGUGGUGAUAGGGUCAACUACCCAAUACCAGUAUCAAAGAAACACAGUAAUAAACAACAGAAGACAAACCAUGUUAGGCCAUGCUGCACAAACUGUAAAUUCAACAACAGCAUAAAACCAACGAUACUUGGAAUGCUAUCAAAUCAACAGAAAAAGUAUUUUUGCAGUGUUCAGACUGCUUCCUCUUGUGCAGGCUUGGAAUAAAACAGUUUAUUCAACUGUGAGAUCCAGAGAGAUUUAGUAAAAACAGCAUGGAAGGAAUGCCAUCACAGGCAUAAAUUAAGAGCCUCAUUGGUAAACAAAGCUACACAGUUCUCAUCCCAUUAGCAGACAAACUUGGUGAUGUUUUCCAGCCUUAAUGAUUCUGUGAUUCUAUGUUUGAGAAGUCUUCUGAACUCUAGUAUAUGGGGCACAAUAAUGGAUGCAAGAGGCCAGGCUGAUGCCAGGCUUGCUGGGAACAUCUGACCUUAAAGAUGCCACCAGCUGAAAAACAGCUGUAUCAUGAAGCAACUCAUGACUCCAGUUAACUGAGUCCUUAUAGAAAAAUAGCACAUGCCUCUUCAUGCACCUGCAAUACGAACCAAAAAAAUUAGCCAGAAAUACUGGCCUUUCAGAGGUACUCAAGUGAACAUGCUUACAAUAGGAAUUUACUUUACGAAGUGUUGUUUGCCAAGUUUGACAAAGUUUGACUGCCAAAUGCUGCAGAUCUAAACAAGCUAUAAUGGUUGCCCACAUCCGACUUACAGCAUUGAAAUUAAUCGUGUGUUGCUGUAAAUCCUGAAAUCUGUGCUACCUCCUUACAGAGGAAUCCAGAUACGUGGCCCAGAACUUAAAAACUUCUGGAUCAGCUCCUAGUGAAACUCCCCUGAGGUGAUCAGGGAGGCUUUAAUCUUUAUCACCCACCAGGCUAGCAAAUUAGCUCUGAGAGGAGCUCUUCUAGGUAGGCAGAUACUGACUGACAUCCAGUUAGGCACAGUAAUACCACCCUGCUGCUUGGCAGUAGGCAGGGCAGUAAGCAACGCAACAUGUGGGCAUCAGGUUUACAAAGUUGAUUGGAGGAUCACCGCCCAACACCAGUUGGGAAGACUGAAAUUCUAAUUAAUCUGUUUAUGCAAGCAAUCUAUUUCCAGCACUAGCAGAUAGUAUUUCAAGAAAAAUUUAAAACAUGACUAGUUUUGUAAGCAGCAUAUUUACUAUACUCAUAUUACCAGUGAUACCUAUGAGUAGCAUGUUUAGAAUGGACUUGAAAACAGAAAACCAGUUCUUUCAGAACCUCCUUAAUAUUUAUAGCUCUAUUGGAGGCAUAGUGUCUACCCUCCACCUGGGGAUAGAUGAGGAGCUGACAGAGAGCUUAUGGGUUAGGGUUAAAAGACGCAGGGGAAGGAGACACUGUAGUGGGAGUCUGCUACAGGCCAACCACCUGGUCUGGAAAACCAAGCAGAUGAGGCCCUCUACAGAUAGAAGCAGCUUCAUGUUCACAAAACAUGGUCCUCAUGGGGGAUUUCAGCCAUCCCAAUACUUGUUGGAGGGACAACACAGCAGAGCACCAGAAAUUGAAGAUGUUCCCGGAAUGCAUUGAUGAUAACUUUCUCUUCCAAGUGGUACAUGAACCCAUGAGAAAAAUGCUAUGCUGGACCUUGUUCUCACUAAUGAGGAGGGACUGGUGAGUAAUGCAAAGCUCAAGGGCAGCUUUGGCUGCAGUGACCACGAAACAGUGUUGUUCAAGAUCCUUACGGCAUCAAAGAGGGUGUGCAGCAAGCUUGCUACUCUGGACUUCAGAAGCACAGACUUCGAACUCUUCAGGGAACUACUUGGCAGGGUGACAUGGGAUAAAGCCCUGGAGGGAAGAGGGACCUAAGAAAGCUGGUCAGUAUUCAAGGACCAUCUCCUCCAAGCCCAGAAGCAUUGCACCCUGAGAAAAAGGCAGGCAGGCAGGCAAGAGUGCCAGGAGGCCUUCAUGAAUCAACUAGGAGUUCCUGGACUUCCUUAAGUAGAAAAAUAAAGUAUAUAGGGAGUGGAAGCAGGAGCAGGUUGCCUGGGAGGACUACAGGGGAGUGGAAGCAGGAGCAGGUUACUUGGGAGGACUACAGAACAGUCGUCUGAGCAGCUAGGGAUCAUGUUAGGAAAGCUAAAACCUAGAUAGAAUGAAAUCUAGCCAGGUACAUAAAGGGGAACAAGAAGAAAUAUUACAGGUUUAAUUAGUGAUUAAAGGUCAGGGAAGAUGUGGGUCCCUCUCUGGGAGGAAACUGAAUACCUGGUCACAAGGGAUAUGGAGAAAGCCAAGGUGCUCAAUGGCUUCUUUGCUUCAGUCUUCGCUGGCAAAGGCUCUAUUCAUGCUGCCCAAGCUGCAGAAAGCAAUGGUAAGAAGCUGCUCACUCUAAGUGAAGAUCAGGUUCAAGACCGUCUAAAGAACCUGAAGGUGCACAAGUCCAUGGGAACUGAUGAGAUCCAUCCACAGGUUCAGAGGGAACUGGCAGAUGAAGUUGCCAAGCCACUAUUUAUCAUAUUUAAAAGGUUGUGGCAGUCUGGUGAAGUUCACACUGAUCGGAAAAGGGGAAACGUAACCCCCAUUUUCAAGAAGGGAAAAAAAAAAGAUCCAAGGAACUACAGGUCAGUCAGUAUCACCUCUGCACCUGGCAAGAUCACAGAGCAGAUCCUCCUGAAGGCCCUACUAAGGCACAUGGAAAAUAAAGAUGAGGUGAUUGAUGAUAACCAGCAUGGCUUCACCAAGGGCAAGUCAUGCCUGACAAAUGUAGUGGCCUCUUAUGAUGGAGUCAUAGUGUCAGUGGAUAAAGGAAGAACAACUGAUGUCAUCUACCUAGAUUUGUGCAAAGCAUUUGACACUGUCUGACACAUCAUCCUGGUCACCAAAUUAGAGAAAAAUCAAUGUGAUGGAUGGAUCACUCACUGCAUAAGGAAUUGGCUGGAUGGUUACACUCAGAAAGUUGCAGUUAACAGCUCAGUGUCCAAUGUGCUGGGAUUGAUGUUAUUUAACAUCCUUGUAGGUGACAUGGACAGUGGGACCAGACUCACGCUCAGCAAGUUUGCAGACAACACCAAGCUGAGUGGUGCAGAUGACAUGCUAGAGGGAAGGAAUACUAUCCAGGGAGAAUCAGAAUCACCAAGGUUGGUAAAGACCUGUAAGAUCAUCCAGUCCAGCCAUCCACCUAUAACCAAUAUUUCCCACUAAACCAUGUCCCUCAGUACAACAUCUAAACAUUUCUUGAACACCUCCAAGGGAUGGAAGGACCUGGACAGGCUGCAGAGGUGGGCCCAUGCCAACCUCAUGAAGUUCAUCAAAGUCAAGUGCAAGGUCCUGCAACUGGGUCAGGGCAAUCCCAAGCACAGAUAGAUGUUGGGCAGAGAAUGGCUUGAGAGCAGCCCUGAGGGGAAGGAUUUGGGGGUGUCAGUUGAUGAAAAAUUCAAUAUGAGCUGGCACAGUGCACUUGCAGCCUAGAAGGUCAACUGUAUCCUGGGUUGCAUCAAGAGAAGCUUGACCAGAAGGUCAAGGAUAGUGAUUCUUCCCCCCUGCUCCUGUGACACCCUACCUGGAGUACUGUGCCCAGUACUCUGGGGCCCUCAACACAAGAACAUGGAGAUGUUGGAGCAGGUCCAGAGGAAGGCCACAAAAAUGAUCAGAGGGCUGGAACACCUCCCCCAUGAGGACAGGCUGAGAGAGCUGGAGCUCUUCAUUCUGGAGAAGAGAAGGCUCUGGGGGGGAACUUUAUAGCAGCCUUCCAGUACCUGAAGGGGCCUACAGAAAAGCUGAGGAGGGACUUUUUACAAGGGCAUGUAGCAAUAAGAUGAGGGGAAAUGGUUUUAAACUGGAAGAGGGUAUAUUCAGACUAGAUAUCAGGAAGAAAUUAUUUCCUGUGAGAGUGGUGAGACACUGGAACAGGUUGCCCAGCAAGGUUGUGGAUUCCCUCUCCCUGGAAGCAUUCAAGGCCAGGCUGGAUGGCUGUGAGCAGCCUGAUCUAGAUGGAGGUGCCUAUAGCAGGGGGCUAGGCUAGAUCAUCUUACAGAUCCCUUCCAACCCAACCCAUUCUAUGAUUCUAUGAUAACAUCUUCAUUAAUUCAGAUAUUAACACCUGAAAACAGCAAUUUUUUGCCUUAAUAUUUCUGCAUCCAAGAUCUGCAUUUGCAGCUAAGAGAUAAUGACAUCUUUAACUGUACAGUAAUAACUAAACAGUUAGUCAGCAGCAGUUGUUUAAUCAAGUUUGUUUUGUUUUUCAACUGAAGUGUUUAAGUGGCAUUGAAGGACACUGGGUGACUACAAUUUUUGAUCACUAAAUAAUACCUGUCUACACUCUAACCGGUUUCCUACUGUAGGAAAAAAUAUUUCUACCAUUCAUUUCACCAUGAAGAAGGCAUGUGAAACAGAGGGAAAGAAUCACAUCCUAAAGUUGCCUCUUUCCCUCCAAUGAUUUUAAAAGGAACCUGAAGUACAGCUAAGGGAAAGGCAUCUACAUCAGGCAAAUCCUAUGCACUGUUCCUGGCAAAGUCUCCAGGAACUAUGUGAUCACUGCACUUAGGUACAAGAAUCACACCAUUAUCAUUUAUGUUUUAAACUUGCGUACAAAAUAUUUUUGUGUUCCAUUUUUAUUUCCCAG
ensembl:lncRNA